rnacentral:tRNA from 1 species
UUAAUUGAAGCCAAAAAGAGGCUUAUCAUUGUUAAUGAUAUAACUGAAAAUUAUAUUCCAAUUAAA